rnacentral:rRNA from 1 species
UAGGGAAUCUUCGGCAAUGGGGGCAACCCUGACCGAGCAACGCCGCGUGAGUGAAGAAGGUUUUCGGAUCGUAAAGCUCUGUUGUAAGAGAAGAACGUGUGUGAGAGUGGAAAGUUCACACAGUGACGGUAACUUACCAGAAAGGGACGGCUAACUACGUGCCAGCAGCCGCGGUAAUACGUAGGUCCCGAGCGUUGUCCGGAUUUAUUGGGCGUAAAGCGAGCGCAGGCGGUUUAAUAAGUCUGAAUUUAAAGGCAGUGGCUUAACCAUUGUUCGCUUUGGAAACUGUUAGACUUGAGUGCAGAAGGGGAGAGUGGAAUUCCAUGUGUAGCGGUGAAAUGCGUAGAUAUAUGGAGGAACACCGGUGGCGAAAGCGGCUCUCUGGUCUGUAACUGACGCUGAGGCUCGAAAGCGUGGGGAGCAAACAGG